rnacentral:rRNA from 1 species
AUUGAACGCUGGCGGCAGGCCUAACACAUGCAAGUCGAACGGUAACAGGAAGCAGCUUGCUGCUUUGCUGACGAGUGGCGGACGGGUGAGUAAUGUCUGGGAAACUGCCCGAUGGAGGGGGAUAACUACUGGAAACGGUAGCUAAUACCGCAUAACGUCGCAAGACCAAAGAGGGGGACCUUAGGGCCUCUUGCCAUCGGAUGUGCCCAGAUGGGAUUAGCUAGUAGGUGGGGUAACGGCUCACCUAGGCGACGAUCCCUAGCUGGUCUGAGAGGAUGACCAGCCACACUGGAACUGAGACGCGGUCCAGACUCCUACGGGAGGCAGCAGUGGGGAAUAUUGCACAAUGGGCGCAAGCCUGAUGCAGCCAUGCCGCGUGUAUGAAGAAGGCCUUCGGGUUGUAAAGUACUUUCAGCGGGGAGGAAGGGAGUAAAGUUAAUACCUUUGCUCAUUGACGUUACCCGCAGAAGAAGCACCGGCUAACUCCGUG